GACGAACGCUGGCGGCGUGCUUAACACAUGCAAGUCGAACGAAGUGGCGCACGGGUGAGUAACGCGUAAUCAACCUGCCCUUCAGAGGGGGACAACAGUUGGAAACGACUGCUAAUACCUCAUACUGAAUGAGGGGAUUUCGUCGGAUUCGCCAGUCGGAGGGGUAACGGCCCACCAAGGCGCUGAUCAGGAGCCGGUCUGGAAGGAUGCACGGCCAAAUUGGGACUGAGACACGGGCCAGACUCCUACGGGAGGCAGCAGUGGGGAAUCUUCCGAAAUGGACGAAAGUCUGACGGAGCAACGCCGCGUGAGAGAUGACGGCCUUCGGGUUGUAAAGCUCUGUUAAUCGGGACGCGGUACCGGAAUAGAAAGCCACGGCUAACUACGUGCCAGCAGUCGCGGUAAUAC
rnacentral:rRNA from 1 species